AGAGUUUGAUCCUGGCUCAGAGCGAACGCUGGCGGCAGGCCUAACACAUGCAAGUCGAACGAACUCUUCGGAGUUAGUGGCGGACGGGUGAGUAACACGUGGGAACGUGCCUUUAGGUUCGGAAUAACUCAGGGAAACUUGUGCUAAUACCGAAUGUGCCCUUCGGGGGAAAGAUUUAUCGCCUUUAGAGCGGCCCGCGUCUGAUUAGCUAGUUGGUGAGGUAAAGGCUCACCAAGGCGACGAUCAGUAGCUGGUCUGAGAGGAUGAUCAGCCACAUUGGGACUGAGACACGGCCCAAACUCCUACGGGAGGCAGCAGUGGGGAAUCUUGCGCAAUGGGCGAAAGCCUGACGCAGCCAUGCCGCGUGAAUGAUGAAGGUCUUAGGAUUGUAAAAAUCUUUCACCG
rnacentral:rRNA from 1 species